rnacentral:rRNA from 1 species
UACGAAGGGGGCUAGCGUUGUUCGGAAUUACUGGGCGUAAAGCGCACGUAGGCGGAUAUUUAAGUCAGGGGUGAAAUCCCAGAGCUCAACUCUGGAACUGCCUUUGAUACUGGGUAUCUCGAGUAUGGAAGGGGUGAGUGGAAUUCCGAGUGUAGAGGUGAAAUUCGUAGAUAUUCGGAGGAACACCAGUGGCGAAGGCGGCUCACUGGUCCAUUACUGACGCUGAGGUGCGAAAGCGUGGGGAGCAAACAGG